UGGUGGUUGUAGCUUAUUGGUAAAGCGUUCGGUUGUGAGCCGAAAGAACAGGGUUCGAUCCCCGCAACUCACCCA
rnacentral:tRNA from 1 species